GGAAGUUCGAAGCCAUUGAAAGCUAAUCAAACGGAGAGAAACGGAGCUCGAUAAACGGAACUCUCCCGCAUUGGGGGGCGGCGGCAAAUGUUCGCCAAUUGGGGGCCACGCUUGAUUGAUUCGCUUUAGUUAUUUGUUUUUGCAAUUCAUUUGCAUUUCAGUUCUCAACGGUUGAGUGCGCGAGUUUUAAUUAAAUCAAAUAUGGGCGUGGGCAGGCCUACAGAUAUCGUCUUAUCCGUUCGUCUUCUACUUGCUGCCCUCUACUAAACGCCCUAUGCAGCUCAAUCAGUUGAACAGCUCAAAUGAAAACUCACAAUUUUCUGCUGCUCUGCCGUGUGGCAAGCAAUUUCCAAGACGCAACGACGGAAACUAUUUUCGCGGCUCAUUUAACGGGCUUUGCCCGGCAGGCAAAUAACUAAAAAAAAGAAUCAUAAAAAAUAUGAAAUAUAUAUAAAUAUUUUUCAUUGCUUGCGGGCAAGUGUGUUACACGGUUAAACCAAUUUACCAGCUAGCUACCCUAACCACCCGACACGGCAUCUACGGCGAUUGCGAGCAUGCCUCACUGCAUCCACGCCCACAAAUCGUGUGCCAUAUAUCCUGCAGGCAAGUUUGAAGAGAUAGCAAAGAUUGUUGGGACGUGAGACAUUUGAGCAGCUGUUGCAGGGGCAAUGGACACUUAAUGGGCGAGCUCUACCUCUGCGGUGAUUAUAGAGUAUAUUUACAUACACAUUUAUAGCUAUACAUAUUUAUAUUUAAGACUCAUUUCAUGGCCUGUCUCGCACUUUUCACUCGCAAAAAUUAAAAGCCUCCAGCUUUGGGUCGCGCACAAAAAGAAACGAGCAAAACUCACAACGAAAGUUGACGACAAAAUGCUGACAAACUGCAACAGCGACGGCGACGGCGACGACGACUGCGACUGCGACAGUGACUGUGUGGAAACUGUUUGGCUGUUAUCAUAAAUAAAGAGCGCCAAAUGUCAAACGUUGUCCGGGUUAUAAUAUCAUAAACUAAAUGCAAGUGGCGCAGAAAUCAAACAUGCAACAUUUCGAGCAUUCGAACAAUUCACGAUUUAUUGGCCAUGUUCAUAAUGUUGCGACUGGCAGUUGGAGCGGCUGGAGCGGGCCUGCACUUUUUAAACUGAAUUGUUUCCGGGAACUGUUGCUCCAACACCAACAACAAUGGCACACAACAGCAACAACAAAAAC